UACGUAGGGGGCCAGCGUUGUUCGGAAUUACUGGGUGUAAAGGGUUCGUAGGCGGCGCGGUAAGUCGGGUGUGAAAUCUUGGAGCUUAACUCCGAAACUGCAUUCGAUACUGCCGUGCUUGAGGACUGGAGAGGAGACUGGAAUUUACGGUGUAGCGGUGAAAUGCGUAGAUAUCGUAAGGAAGACCAGUGGCGAAGGCGGGUCUCUGGACAGUUCCUGACGCUGAAGCACGAAGGCCAGGGGAGCAAACGGG
rnacentral:rRNA from 1 species